ACAUGCCUACAACAUAGUGUUAAUGCAUUGAAUCCCAUUAGAACUCCACAGUUAAGCGUGCUCGGUGUAGAGUAGUACUGUGAUGGGUGACUGCUCGGGAAGUACUAGUAUUUUACAUGUC
rfam:Picea glauca, whole genome shotgun sequence.